rnacentral:rRNA from 1 species
AGAGCCAGGAUACCUGGAUUUACGCUCUAAACCCUUCUGUGAACAUACCUAUAACUUGUUUGCUUCGGCGGGUAGGGUCUCCGCGACCCUCCCGGCCUCCCGCCUCCGGGCGGGUCGGCGCCCGCCGGAGGAUAACCAAACUCUGAUUUAACGACGUUUCUUCUGAGUGGUACAAGCAAAUAAUCAAAACUUUUAACAACGGAUCUCUUGGUUCUGGCAUCGAUGAAGAACGCAGCGAAAUGCGAUAAGUAAUGUGAAUUGCAGAAUUCAGUGAAUCAUCGAAUCUUUGAACGCACAUUGCGCCCGCCAGCAUUCUGGCGGGCAUGCCUGUUCGAGCGUCAUUUCAACCCUCAAGCUCUGCUUGGUGUUGGGGCCCUACAGCUGAUGUAGGCCCUCAAAGGUAGUGGCGGACCCUCUCGGAGCCUCCUUUGCGUAGUAACUUUACGUCUCGCACUGGGAUCCGGAGGGACUCUUGCCGUAAAACCCCCAAUUUUCCAAAGGUUGACCUCGGAUCAGGUAGGAAUACCCGCUGAACUUAAGCAUA